rnacentral:rRNA from 1 species
CGCGGCCUAUCAGCUUGUUGGUGGGGUAAUGGCCUACCAAGGCGACGACGGGUAGCCGGCCUGAGAGGGCGACCGGCCACACUGGGACUGAGACACGGCCCAGACUCCUACGGGAGGCAGCAGUGGGGAAUAUUGCGCAAUGGGCGAAAGCCUGACGCAGCGACGCCGCGUGAGGGACGAAGGUCUUCGGAUUGUAAACCUCUUUCAGCAGGGACGAAGCGAAAGUGACUGUACCUGCAGAAGAAGCACCGGCUAACCACGUGCCAGCAGCCGCGGUGACACGUAGGCACCAAGCGUUGUCCGGAUUUAUUGGGCGUAAAGAGCUCGUAGGCGGUUCAGUAAGUCGGGUGUGAAAACUUUGGGCUCAACCCAAAGCGUGCACUCGAUACUGCUGUGACUGGAGUUCGGUAGGGGAGCGGGGAAUUCCUAGUGUAGCGGUGAAAUGCGCAGAUAUCACAAGGAACACCAACGGCGAAGGCAGCACUCUGGGCCGGUACUGACGCUGAGGAGCGAAAGCGUGGGUAGCAAACAGGAUUAGAUACCCUGGUAGUCCACGCCGUAAACGUUGGGCACUAGGUGUGAGUCUCAACCAACGAGAUCCGCGCCGUCGCAAACGCAUUAAGUGCCCCGCCUGGGGAGUACGGA